ACGCACGCUGGCGGCGUGCUUAACACAUGCAAGUCGAACGGAAAGGCCCUGCUUUUGUGGGGUGCUCGAGUGGCGAACGGGUGAGUAACACGUGAGUAACCUGCCCUUGACUUUGGGAUAACUUCAGGAAACUGGGGCUAAUACCGGAUAGGAGCUCCUGCUGCAUGGUGGGGGUUGGAAAGUUUCGGCGGUUGGGGAUGGACUCGCGGCUUAUCAGCUUGUUGGUGGGGUAGUGGCUUACCAAGGCUUUGACGGGUAGCCGGCCUGAGAGGGUGACCGGCCACAUGGGGACUGAGAUACGGCCCAGACUCCUACGGGAGGCAGCAGUGGGGAAUAUUGCACAAUGGGCGGAAGCCUGAUGCAGCAACGCCGCGUGCGGGAGGACGGCCUUCGGGUUGUAAACCGCUUUCGCCUGUGACGAAGCGUGAGUGACGGGAAUGGGGAAAGAAGCACCGGCUAACUACGU
rnacentral:rRNA from 1 species